rnacentral:rRNA from 1 species
UACGGAGGGUGCAAGCGUUAUCCGGAUUCACUGGGUUUAAAGGGUGCGUAGGCGGGCAGGUAAGUCAGUGGUGAAAUCUCCGAGCUUAACUCGGAAACUGCCGUUGAUACUAUUUGUCUUGAAUAUUGUGGAGGUAAGCGGAAUAUGUCAUGUAGCGGUGAAAUGCGCAGAUAUCAGGAGGAACACCGGUGGCGAAGGCGGCAUCCUGGACCGAUACUGACGUGAGGAGCGAAAGCCAGGGGAGCAAACGGG